CGUUCCUACGGGAGGCAGCAGUGAGGAAUAUUGGUCAAUGGGCGGGAGCCUGAACCAGCCAAGUCGCGUGAGGGAAGACGGUCCUAUGGAUUGUCCCCCUCUUUUGUCGGGGCGCCCCGCGCCCACGUGUGGUCAAAAGCGAGAGUACCCGAAGAAAAAGCAUCGGCUCCCUCCGUGCCCGCAGCCGCGGUACUACGGAGGCUGCGAGCGUUCUCCGGCUUUCUUGGGUU
rnacentral:rRNA from 1 species